CUGUCCGGGCUCGGGGGGGAGGCAGGUGGAGUUGAGCGGCUGGGAGGAGCCCGCCCCUUUGCAGGAGCGGGGCUGAUGCCCGCCAGCAGGGGACACGCUCGAAGGCGCCGGGCUUGGGUGCAGCGGCUCUCGGUGCCCGGCGGAGCUGAGCACGGGGGAUGCGCGCAACCAACUCGCGGCAGGAUUGAGGCAUAGAAGAAAAUUUCCACAUGACGCUCCAGUCCUUCACCCGCAGCUAAAAUAUGAAAGAUGAUGACUUGAAGCACAUAGCUAUUCCUACUGCCUGUAUUUAGGUUCAGUAAAUAAACUGGAUUUGGACUUCACCUGUAAUGUCUGAUAUGAAUUGCAUCAUGGCAUCAGAUGAAAAAUAAUAUCAGGAUAGUUGCCAAAUCAAGCAAGAAACCAAAGAGGAGAUGCCGAUCCUAGCCAUUCAUCACUUUGGGGAAAAAAUGUUGACGGUUGAAGAGUGUAACCGAUCUAUAAAACAACUUUGCAGAGUCCUUCCAUGGAUUUUUGAAUGAAAGAGGUGUUCUAAAAGGAUGUAAUUUUACAUUGUGUGUGUGUGUGUGUGUGUGUGUGUGUACAUUCUAAUAAAGUGUUUG